rnacentral:lncRNA from 1 species
CAGCAACAAGCUCUUUAUGGGUCUACACACAAAAAUCACCAAAACUCCAUCGAAAUCCACAAUUUCAGCAUUUAAGCUUAAAUUCACAAAACCUCAAUGUCAAAUUCACCUUCCAAAGCUCAAUUCAGGUGAAGAAAGGUCCCAACAGUAGUGAAGUAUGAUGGAGUACUGUCUUCAGGUCCGAAAUUCAGCUUUCUCCCAGGUUUGAUCCAAGAAAACCAAUAAAACUCAGCUUUAGCCCGCAAGUACCAGCAUCUCAGAAGAAUACGAAAUUGACUAUACAAACCUCAAUCAAUUUCUGUCAAAUUUGCUCCACGAAUUCUCCAAGAAGUCAACUAACCACCAAACCAAGUUUCACAGCAAUCUGACCCUCCUACGUUGCACACGAGCCAAAACGCCGAAAGUCGCUGCUGGAAUUCU